ACGGGGCGCUGGGGAGUGGAGAGUGGAAACAGGAAACACUUUAAUAGCCUGCAAAUUUAUUCUUUACAAUCGCCAGAACGAAGCGAGCGCCGCGCUGGACACUUUCUCUUUAUUGCGAAACGAGUUGCGCGGCAUUUUCACGACCGGACUGGAAUGAAACUGGACAUCCUCGGAGGUGGCUGCUGUGGCCGCUUCUUCUUCCGCCUGCGUCUGCUUUUAAGGCCUUUUUUCUUAUUUUUUGCCUGAUUUUUUAUUUUUAUAUUUUUUUUUUUUGGACUUGUCUGGUUUUCUGUUGGCCAGCCCAAAAAAGCGGCGCAACUUUCGUCGCCGCAUUGCGUUGCGAUGCGUUAGCGGCCAGUUCCGGCUUCUGCGGCGGCUCCUCCUGCGCCCCCCGCCUUUCUCCGCCUUUCUCCCGCCUUUCUCCCGUCUUUCUCUCUCCCAUCGCAGACGCAGCGAAAUAAGGCAACAAGUGCGCGGCCGUAGAAAUGUCGCCUGCUCUGCUCCUGCGCUCUCCCGGCUUUUUUGGCCGCCUUAAGUUCCUGAUCUCUCGCUGGAAUGUGUGCGCGUGUGUGUGAGUGCGGAUGAAUGGAGUCUGAGAUCAAGGGCGUGAUCAGUGGGGGUGGGAAAGAGAGAGCGAGGGGAGAGGCAACAAGUGGGAAGGAGGAACAUAAAAGUGAGUUGCCACUAUGAGCACCCUUUAACCCAUAGGUGGUCCUAGGUCAUUUGACCCUUCCCGUUACUCGUAAAGCAAUUAUUGUACUGUUACUAGGUUAACAGAAUGUUUGACGUGUUUCCUUCUAGAAAUAUCACUAUCUCAACACACUAUUAAGAUCCUCUACGCGCGGAGGAUCUGGCAACACACUUAAAUUCCAAUCAUUUGUAUAAUCAUUUUUGCAAACCAUUAUAAGGUGUUCAUCCCAGGACUCCACAAGCACACCAUCUGAAGCGGAAUGAGGGUUAAUCCUGGGAAUGUCACUACUACCAGUAUCAUCAGUAAGAUUCUUCAUAGUCGCUUAGGGUGUGGCAACGCUGUCACAUAUAAGGUUGCCAUCCCAAGAAUCUUAAGCAUCAUCCGGGGAUGCCACUUUGUUAACAUAAUUUCUUUUCUAAUUCUUUAUAGCUCUAUAUUCAAAUCUUUAAAUCCUCAAAAAAUCGCUUAUAAUAAAACUACAAGAAAGAUAUAUCUUACAACCCGGGACCGAAUAAGCUGGCAACUAUAUCUUUCAAAAGAAAUACAUUUCAAGAGAGAGUGAAUAUGUUAAAAAUGUUGCCACCCUUGUAAUGAUACUUUUAUUAAUAGCUUGGCUUAUUUCAGCUCAGCCGGCUGCCCAUUGAGGUUUCUCAAUGAAUGGCUUUGGCAGCUGGGGCCUGACGUGGACCCCCCCGGAAUCGGAAUGCCUCAGAGGCGAGUGCCACGCCCGAAUUCAGGUGCGCAUCCGAGUCCCAGUGCGAGUUCGACUGGCAACAGGUGGGCCGGGCGGAGCCACAGGUGAGUUACAGGUGACAACCGACAGUCGACAGUCGAGAGUCGAGCGCCGAGAGACGAGAGUCAGGCAGACGGAAUGUCUGGCGCGGCAUGGAGCGGAAUGUCAAACGUUUAUUUGCCGCAUCAGCAUCAGCCUCUGUCUCUGUCUCUGCCUGGCCAACGGCCCACCCGCAAGCUGCCGCCGACUCGAUGACCCACCUAGGAAGGCCCCCCCCUCCGAGCGCCGCCCAUGGGCAAUCCAUGGGAGCAAUCCGGCUGAUUGGAGAUUUGUUUUCUAUUUGCAAUUGAUCGAUGCUCGCCUGCCAGGCAGCACAACGGCCACAAGAAAUGGUAAAAAAAGGAAAACGCUGCAAAAAAGUUAACGCAAAAAUUGAGCUGGACGUCGUUGGACGGUGUCCACGUCCGGUGGGUUCGUUAAUGGCAUUCCGAACCUGGGAUCAGGCCGAUGGAUUAGCCAGCUUUCAGCUCGAGACCUUCGCAAACGUCGCUAAAACAAAUGGGGAUUUUAUUUUAAUGAAAUAUUUUGGAGUCUAAUAUUAUAUUAUUCUAUAUGGUU